UGGCCUAGCUGCCAAGGCUUUCUCGUCCAGAUGGAAGGCAAAGGUCCCUUCCAGAAAGGCGAGGCAGGCGGAAAGAGCACAGGCCUUGGGUAACCACACGCUGGUUCCUGGGAUGGGCAGCAGAGUUGCGCUGUGGGCUGAGAGCAAGAUGCAGCAGGGCCAGUACCUUCAAGGCUCUGGGGAAGGCCCCUCUAUGUCCUUUCCCAGCUCGUAGAGAUCCCUGCACACCUGCUUGUGUCUUUCUCCCCAGCUUGGAAGCCAGGAAUAGAAGAGGUCAUCUGAACCACUUCAUCCUUCUGAUGGGUAAGGACCCGCUGAAGCCUCUCCCCCAACAUUCACGACAGUCUCUUGAUCUUAAAGAUCCCACGUCUCCAACAAGGCCAGUCCUGUCUGUAACCUUUGUUUUCAACCAGCCAAUGACCACGUGUUCUGUACCUGUCUGGAGAAUGAGCUGUUGUAGCCGUGAGUGAAUGACUUCAUUAAACACGUAGUAGACAAAAGGCAAGAAACAGCAGGCGGCCGAUAGAAGCAGCCAACAGACGGCAAAGAAUGGUCAAAUCAGGACUUUACUGAUUUGAUUGAGAGAGUGAAUGAAGAUAAAAAUCACUAAAUCAGCUUACAACAGCCAGCGGAAGUUGACUGGAGAAACCGAGGCAGUUGCCUGCUCUUUCCCACUGCAGGUGUUUAUAUACGCUGUAAUAAACAAUGGUAGCCUCCUUGAAAUAUUUCA